CUAUUACUAGUACACCUGUACACAGUUGUUACAGAGAAGUGAACAAGUUGUUUGAGGAUGAAGUACAUGUUGACGCUACUGGUGGUGACCGUCACUGUUAUAGGAGCAAUAGACAACAAAACUGCUCCGGUAGAUCCAGUGAUCCUUCCGUGUGGCCCCCACACCAUGAAACUCGGCGAUGUGGUCUUGGUGCAGUCACCAGGUUACCCCGCCCGCCUGACCAACAAGAGCAGUUGUCAACAGAAUAUCGUCUGCCAGUCACUGAGUGCCAAGCUUGGAGUCGCCUGCGAAGUAUUUAACCUGGAAGACUGUGACAAUGAACGACUCAUCAUAUCCUACGACACCACUUCCUCCACGUAUGUGUUACCCGGUACAACACC